GAAGCAGGCCAGACCGCCGCUGGUGCGAGCGUGGAAACACGGCACUGGAGGAAGGUCCGGACUGCGCAGGGCGGCGUAGCAGCUAACGGCUGUCCACCGUGAGGUGAGGAUCAGAGCAACAGAGACGAGUCAAGGCGGGGCCCCGAGGCGGGUGUUCUGUGAGGCGCCGGCGCAAGCCGGCGGGCCGUGCGGCCUGCCGCACGGCCUCGGGCGCAAGCCCGAACCGAACAGCCACUCAAGGCGGGACAAGCUCCGCCUUGGGUGAAACGGGCAAUCUCUACGCGCAGCAAUACCAAGUAGGCACACGUUGACCUGGCCCGGGGAGUGUGCGGGUAGGUAGCACCGAGCCGGGGGGUGACUCCCGGCCCAGAGGAAUGGCGGUCACGGCUCCGAGGCGCAAGCUGCAGGGGCUGCACAGAAUCCGGCCUAUCGGCCUGCUUCACAC
rnacentral:RNase_P_RNA from 1 species